UGUAUUCCCAUAAGGCAUUACUGGAAAAUGUAUGACAAUUACUGUACUGGAGGAAUCUCUCCUACGGAUGCCACUCUUACCACAGAAUUUAAGUUAAUUCUCACUCUGCCAGUGGCUCAUUUCUUCAAUUCCAGGAUGUACCUUCAUUAUUGUUGAUGUAUUAUAUUACACAUUCUUCUUUGGCUACUGCAGUAAUAUGCAAUGAAACAAUGAUCUUACAGAAAUAUUGUGUCUGAAGAAAACCAUAAACCCCUAAGAAUGCUUUUAAACAAUGGGAUUCAUUAUUUAACCAAAGCAAAACUAAUGUGACAGUG
rnacentral:lncRNA from 1 species